UCCCAGACUCCUACGGGAGGCAGCAGUGGGGAAUAUUGGACAAUGGGGGGAACCCUGAUCCAGCGACGCCGCGUGAGUGAAGAAGUAUUUCGGUAUGUAAAGCUCUAUCAGCAGGGAAGAAAGAAAUGACGGUACCUGACUAAGAAGCCCCGGCUAACUACGUGCCUGCAGCCGCGGUAAUACGUAGGGGGCAAGCGUUAUCCGGAUUUACUGGGUGUAAAGGGGGCGCAGACGGCGAUGCAAGCCAGGAGUGAAAGCCCGGGGCCCAACCCCGGGACUGCUCUUGGAACUGCGUGGCUGGAGUGCAGGAGGGGCAGGCGGAAUUCCUGGUGUAGCGGUGAAAUGCGUAGAUAUCAGGAGGAACACCGGUGGCGAAGGCGGCCCGCUGGACUGCAACUGACGUUGAGGCCCGAAAGCGUGGGGAGCAAACAGGAUUAGAUACCCCUGUA
rnacentral:rRNA from 1 species